GAGGAUGCUUUUGGUGCGGUGCCUUCCAAGUUCCCUAGAACGGGACGCCAGAGAGGGUGAGAGCCCCGUACAGUUGGACACCAAGCCUUUGUAAAGCUCCUUCGACGAGUCGAGUAGUUUGGGAAUGCUGCUCAAAAUGGGAGGUAUAUUUCUUCUAAAGCUAAAUACCGGCCAGAGACCGAUAGCGCACAAGUAGAGUGAUCGAAAGAUGAAAAGCACUUUGAAAAGAGGGUUAAACAGCACGUGAAAUUGUUAAAAGGGAAGCGCUUGUGACCAGACUUGCGUCCGGUGAAUCACCCAGCUCUCGCGGCUGGGGCACUUCGCCGGCUCAGGCCAGCAUCAGCUCGCUGUCGGGGACAAAAGCUUCAGGAACGUAGCUCUCUUCGGGGAGUGUUAUAGCCUGUUGCAUAAUACCCUUCGGCGGGCUGAGGUACGCGCUCCGCAAGGAUGCUGGCAUAAUGGUCAUCAGCGACCCGUCUUGAAACACCGGACCA
rnacentral:rRNA from 1 species